CAAACAUUUGCACUGAGCGUUACCAGUGAUAGAAGCUCUGGACACUACAGAUGGCUGAGGAUGGAGGAUGGAGCCCUCGCCCUUUGAAGCAUUGCCAACAAGUUAGUCUGCUUGGACAUCCUCCUGGCACCUGUUGUCACAAACUCUGUCCCUGCAUAGAGGAUGAUCUCACCCCACCCUGGGUCAGAGUGGACCCCCACAUCCAUCCUCAAAGCCUCCACUUCCAUGACACCCAGGAGCAGAGCAGGUGGCCCUUUGGGUGCUAAGAGUUUCCCUGAAAGGGCUACACGCAAUCUAAGAAAAGAGAAGAAAAUGGGGAAGAUGAGAAAGCUACAAAGAUUGUGAAAACUUACAAAAUGUUUGUGCAGUCUAAGCCAGACUAUGAAUAUAUGAGUUUCACAGAUCAACACUGAGUUAUUUCUAACUAUGUGAAAUAAUGACAUUGUUCCAGUGAAUAGAAAUAUAGUGCAAGACAUGUAGAUGAUUAUAAAUUGUCUGGUAGAUACAGUUGCAUCAAAAUAUGAUGAGUGAAAAUAAUUUUAAUUAUUUAAUCCCAUGUAGCCAACACAUCACUGUAACAUAUAAUCAAAAAAUUUUGACUAUUAAUAAAAUGUUUGAUAUUAUUUUUACCACAUUACAUGUCACCUUUCUGUUGCUGUGACAAAAUACCUGACAUACACAACUUAAAGAAGAAAAGGGUUAUCUGGGCUCACAGUUUCAGAGGUUUCACUCCAGCUGGCUCCAAGGAAGAAACAUGAUGGCACAUGGGCAUGAUGGAGGAAAUGUGCCAAUCGUGUGACAGCUAAGUAGGAGGAAGAGCCAGAGAGGAAGGGGUUAGGGACUGGAUAUUGUCCCCAAGGUCACCCCACAGGAC
rnacentral:lncRNA from 1 species